rnacentral:misc_RNA from 1 species
GGAGGAGGAGGAGGAGGAGGCGAUGGGCUUACAAACGCGGAUGAUGCCAGGACAUUUUGUGAUUGUGAAUCAACAAAAAAAGCACAGAAAUUGCAUACAAGCCCUAAAAUCACAAAGAUCAGGGUAGAGAACUGCGUUUCCAUGAAAUAAGAAAUUCAAAAGAAAAUAGCGGUUUGAUAAGAUGAUUCAAGAGGUUCUUGCAUGUGGGUACGAACCCAAAUUCUUGAAUUCCUUUCACUCUGCUUUAAAUUCAAGAAUUUGGGUUCUCAAGAUUAGAAAACAGAGAACUAGGGUUUGAUCGCAAGAAUCCCUCGCCGUAGACAAAAAUCAAGGAAAUGGGUCUAGUGGGUUCUUCCAAAUCCUCGUUUUCUGGAUUUGGUACCAGCACUCUAGGUUUUGGGCAUUUGGCAUAAGGAGCAAAUUUUCUUUUCCUUGUGGGCAAUCGAGGAAAUGAAUGAAAUGGGUAGGUCCCCAAAAUGAUUAAGAUGGGACACAAAAUCUGAGGAAUCUUGAUUUUUCAUUCAGAGAUGCAAAGAAUCCUCG